UUAUGGGGUAAAUUCCUCUCUUUACA
rnacentral:tRNA from 3 species